CAGCAGCCACGGGAAUACGUAGGUGGCAAGCGUUGUCCGGAAUUAUUGGGCGUAAAGGGCUCGCAGGCGGUUUCUUAAGUCUGAUGUGAAAGCCCCCGGCUCAACCGGGGAGGGUCAUUGGAAACUGGGAAACUUGAGUGCAGAAGAGGAGAGUGGAAUUCCACGUGUAGCGGUGAAAUGCGUAGGGAUGUGGAGGAACACCAGUGGCGAAGGCGACUCUCUGGUCUGUAACUGACGCUGAGGAGCGAAAGCGUGGGGAGCGAACAGGAUUAGAUACCCCAGUAGUCCCUGUCUCUUAUAC
rnacentral:rRNA from 1 species